UUUUAGAUUGUUUAUUAUUGGAAAUAUCAGAUUUCCCUUAUUAUAAUUGUGAAGUUCAUAUGCUCUAUUGAGAAUUUCUUUAGACUCAUAGUCUACUGUACUGGGUUUAAAUCUGAAGAUUCCAAUUAUGAGCUAUAUGAUUAUCUGCCAACAUGUUUUCUCAUGCAUCGAGCUGAAAAUUUAUCUUUCAAGGCUGGGUGAGCGGUACAUCAGACAACAUUACUAUAAAACGUUCCACAAAUAUUAGGGAACAUAUCUCCUGCCUCACUUAUGAAAUGGUUCUGCAGUCCUCCCCAGAAGGCAGCUUUACAGGGAAGCGCUUAUCAAUUACGUGUUAUUGUUUCAUGAUGGUGAUUUUUUUCAUGAUUCAUCCGAAAGAUUUGCAAAUGAAAUAUUCCAUAAAGCAAGACAACCUUGAAAAUGCCAUAGUUUCAGAAAAGCUGGAUAAGAUAAUCAGCUGUUAUUGAAACUAAGCUUGAUGUGAUUUGGUAUCAUGCUCUGAGCUUGUCACUAAGAAUAUCUGAUCUCUACCCAUAAACAAACUGUUUAAAAACUAGUUAAAAGCUAUCAGCACUAAGAAUGAUUGAAUUUAUUUAACUUAGUGCUGAAUAUACUGUAGAUACUAAACAACUACGUACUAUACGACCAAUACCGGAAAAAUAUUCCAUUAACUAGUCAUUUUCUAGAAAACCUUUCAAUGUUGUUUGACUAGUUUUAAAUCAAAUUCAUAAUUUGAUUUUGUAUAACUUGAUUUUGGAAUAAUGCUUUUUGUUUCUCAGACUUGCCCA
rnacentral:lncRNA from 1 species